rnacentral:misc_RNA from 1 species
GAUGAAGAACGUAGUGAAAUGCGAUAAGUAAUGAGAAUUGCAGAAUUCAGUGGAUCAUCGAAUCUUUGAACGCACAUUGCGCCCCUUGGUAUUCCGAGGGGCAUGCCUGUUCGAGCGUCAUUUCAACCCUCAAGCUCUGCUUGGUCUUGGGCCUGGCCGUGAUGGCCGGUCUUAAAAUCAGUGGCGGUGCCGUCGCAGGCUCCAAGCGUAGUACAUCUCUCGCUCUGGAAACUUGGCGGUGCCUGCCAGACAACCCCUAAUUGUCUCUUUCGGUUGACCUCGGAUCAGGUAGGGAUACCCGCUGAACUUAAGCAUAUCAAUAAGCGGAGGA